rnacentral:rRNA from 1 species
UACGUAGGGGGCUAGCGUUGUCCGGAAUCAUUGGGCGUAAAGAGCGCGUAGGCGGCCAGAUAAGUCCGGUGUGAAAGUCAAAGGCUCAACCUUUGAAUGCCGCUGGAAACUGUCUGGCUAGAGUCCGGGAGGGGCGAGUGGAAUUCCUGGUGUAGCGGUGAAAUGCGCAGAUAUCAGGAGAAACACCGGUGGCGAAGGCGGAUCUCUGGGCCUGAUCUGACGCUGAGGCGCGAAAGCUAGGGGAGCGAACAGG